rnacentral:rRNA from 1 species
AACCGCAAAGGGCUCAGUAAACCAGUUUUAAUUUACUAGAGUUUUUACGUUUCGUACGUGGAUACCUGUGGUAAUUCUAGAGCUAAUACAUGCAAUUAAGUCCGGACCAGAAAUGGAAAGGACGCUUUUAUUAGAUCAAAACCAUUCGCCCGACUUGUUUGGGCGUUGUUUUGGUGAAUCUAGAUAACACUUGAGAUCGUACAGUCAUUGUACUGACGACAUCUCUUUCAAACGCCUGACUUAUCAGCUGUCGAUGGUAGACUCUGUGUCUACCAUGGCCCUUACGGGUAACGGGGAAUCAGGGUUCGAUUCCGGAGAGGGAGCCUGAGAAACGGCUACCACAUCCAAGGAAGGCAGCAGGCACGCAAAUUACCCACUCCCGGCACGGGGAGGUAGUGACAAAAAAUAACGAUACGGGACUCUAUUGAGGCCCCGUAAUCGGAAUGAGUACACUUUAAAUCCUUUAACAAGGAUCCAUUGGAGGGCAAGUCUGGUGCCAGCAGCCGCGGUAAUUCCAGCUCCAAUAGCGUAUAUUAAAGUUGUUGCGGUUAAAAAGCUCGUAGUUGGUUCUGCGUGCCGCGCUGUCGGUUCGCCGCCUGUCGGUGUAACUGGCAUGUCGCGGCAUGUCCUGUCGGUGGUGAACGAUAUUCUUCGGCGCAAGCUGAGGCUUAACUGUCAAAGGUUGUGCCGUGUGUAAUGUCGUUUGCCGAUUUCUCCUACUCCGGUGCUCUUAAACGAGUGUCGAAGUAGGCCGACACG